AUUCACAGGAGGCGGUAAGGUCUGAUGUGAGGGUCACCGGAUGAACAAGAUGAGGGCUCACAGAGUUAGGCAGAAAACUGAGACACAGAGCGACUCAGAGCUAUUUUAAGGUCAUGGGACCAGCAGGCAUCUGACUCCCAGUUCAAACCUGGGUCUCUGGAUUGGGACAUUUGUACUUUUCCCAACGGAUCCCACAGCAAGGCUCAAUGUUGAAGAACUGGUCACUGGUAUAGGUGACAUUCGGGCUUCCUUUGAAACCUGAUGGGUCAGGUGCUGGGUCUUCAGGAGGAGAAACCGGACCCUCCCCUUCCC